GAAGGAUGGAGGUAUAUCAACUCCAGUUUGUACUACAUCUCUACUGAGACCACGUCCUGGGAUGAGAGCAGACCUUACUGCCAACGGAAGGGAUUGGACCUGGUGACCAUAAACAGCAAAGACGAAGAGGACUUUCUCCUUGAAGUGGUCCGUGCAAAGAAUUUGGAUGUAGCCUGGAUUGGUUUUUCUCCCAACAACACGAAGGAGAUCUCUACACGGGUGAAGAGAGGUGUGGGGCCAGAAGAAGGUGCUCAGGAAGAGGACUGUGCUAAGCUUACGGUAUACGAGACACCUGCAGUGAAAGAAGUAACCGGGAGACAAUGUGGGACAA